AACGCAAAUUGCGCCCUUUGGUAUUCCGAAGGGCAUGCCUGUUUGAGUGUCUUAUAAACCUCCAACUAUAGUUUAUUCUGUAGUUGGCUUUGGGUGCUGCCAGCGAUGGCUCGCCUUAAAUGUCUAAGUGGAAUGCAUAAUAAGUUCUUGCAACCCUCCACUCUAACACACUUUAUAUUCUGACCUCAAAUCAGGUAGGACUACCCGCUGAACUUAA
rnacentral:misc_RNA from 1 species